CCUACGGGGGGCAGCAGUGGGGAAUAUUGGACAAUGGGGGCAACCCUGAUCCAGCCAUGCCGCGUGUGUGAAGAAGGCCCUCGGGUUGUAAAGCACUUUCAGUGAGGAAGAACGCCUGGUGGUUAAUACCCAUCAGGAAAGACAUCACUCACAGAAGAAGCACCGGCUAACUCCGUGCCAGCAGCCGCGGUAAUACGGAGGGUGCGAGCGUUAAUCGGAAUUACUGGGCGUAAAGCGCGCGUAGGUGGCUUGAUAAGCCGGUUGUGAAAGCCCCGGGCUCAACCUGGGAACGGCAUCCGGAACUGUCAAGCUAGAGUGCAGGAGAGGAAGGUAGAACUCCCGGUGUAGCGGUGAAAUGCGUAGAGAUCGGGAGGAAUACCAGUGGCGAAGGCGGCCUUCUGGACUGACACUGACACUGAGGUGCGAAAGCGUGGGUAGCAAACAGGAUUAGAUACCCCAGUAGUC
rnacentral:rRNA from 1 species